AUUCCCACUGCAUCUCUCUCUCUGGGUCUAUGCCUUUCUUCCCUGUUGAGUGACAUCCAGUGGGAGUCCGGCCGGUGAUAAUGAGGAGUCAAUCUUGUUAGAAUUAGUCAACAACAUACAGGUCGGCAGUCAUGCAAUCCAUUCUGAGGACAGGAGAGCAGGGCAGAGGAAAGUGAUCAGAGAUUUGUAAUUAAAGGGAAAGGUUCUCUCAUGAACGGACUCUCUUCAUCUAUCUGUUCCAAACCUGUACGACAAUCUAAUCUGGGACACAACAGGAGAUAUUAAGAGACAUGCCACAGCUGCUCUUUUCCCUUUUCCCUCCAAUCACACAGUGAUUUGAGGAUCACAGUAAUCAGCCAAACCCCAGGAGCCCCAUUACAGACAAACAGGACAAACACUCUGGGCCUGUAGUUACAGAUCCUACUUCACUGUGUGUGCAAUGAAUGAAAUGAAUUUCUAUCAUUGCUCUGAAAGAGGCAUCAACAUCAGAGUUAAAGAUUUGUCUCCAGCCUCUCAGUAAUUGCUGCCUGAUGAGGGUCUUCCUGAGGCGAUGUGAGACUCAUCAGUCUCCGGGCCAUCGGCACUCCCCCGGCCGCGCGUCUCCAUAGCAUAAUUUGUCAUCCUGAUGGAGAGCUAAUCUGACAGGAUGUCUGCCCACAGACAGAGAAGGCGAGAUAUUCUGUCUGUACGUAUCCUUUAUUUCCUGCACUGACUCAGUUUCUCUGUUUGUCUGACUCUCAUUUUCUCGCUGCCUCUGUAUGCCACUUAUCUGCCUCAAUCUAUCUCUCUGUGAGCGCUGCGGUUCAGCAGGUGUCUGCCCUUGUAAACCGCCCUAAUAAAAAUCCUGGGAUUUGACAAUCUGUCUCUGAAAAUAUGCUUUUGCUCACCAACAACAACUCUCUCUUUUUCCCUCAUUCCAUUUCCUCUCUCUCAGUUCUGUUUAGUCUCUCGUCAGACAUUUAUCUCUUUUUACAUGUCUGUUUUUAUCUUGUCAUUCCUUAAAUGAAUUUAAAUGUCAUCUUUGACAACAUCUGUAUGAUUUUUUGGCAUUAUAAAAGAGACAAAAUGCACAGCAUGAAAGAAUAUUCACAUUUUGUUCUUUUGAGAAUGCUGAAAGGAAGGUAAACAGGAGAAUGAAAGGAAUAUUCACUCAAAAUCAGAAGUUCUGUUAACAGUUUUUCACCCUCAUGUCGUUGUAAACCUGUGCCACUUACUUUCUUCUGCUGAACACUUUUCCACCGCAAAACAAAAAGUAAAAGAUGACAAAAGGCACCAUAAAUGUAUUAAUUAUGAGUUAUGCGCUUUUGUGGUUUAGAUGCACAAAUUACUGUAUUUAUUUUGGAAGUGUCCUAAAUCAACUUGUUUCUGGUCAAAUUCCUGAUCAUUUAUUAAAGUUGUCAUGUCCUGUCAUGGCCAGUUUACAGGAGUUUUGUAAAUGUCUUGUUUUUCUCACUUAUAACUGAUAUGUACAGUAUGUAUUCACUGCUAAAGCAUUAGCUAAAUCUAGUACAAAAAAAAAAAAAAAAGUUAAAUAAGUGAAAAACAUAUUUACAUUUAAUAAAAAAAAGCUGUAAAAUGUGUUAAUAUAUAUAAAGCUUUUUAAUCUUACCUUUCUAAUUUUUAUUUCCAUUUUUUUUUCGGUUUAUUUUAAUGAACUCCCUUUUGUAUUUGUAAACCUUUAAAAAACUAGUGAUGUAUUAAAUAUUUAGUUGCACAAGGAAGAAACCAACAUAUAAGUUAUUAUUCACUCAAACUCAAAAUAAUGAGUGUUAGUAAAUGGCCACCAAAUGUUUGAACGGUGUGUUU